rnacentral:rRNA from 1 species
UACGAAGGGGGCUAGCGUUGCUCGGAAUCACUGGGCGUAAAGGGCGCGUAGGCGGCCUGGCAAGUCGAUGGUGAAAGCCCGAGGCUCAACUUCGGGUCGGCCACUGAUACUGCUAGGCUUGAGUCGACUAGAGGCAGAUGGAAUUCCGGGUGUAGCGGUGGAAUGCGUAGAGAUCCGGAAGAACACCGGUGGCGAAGGCGGUCUGCUGGGGUCGAACUGACGCUGAGGCGCGACAGCGUGGGGAGCAAACAGG